rnacentral:rRNA from 1 species
CAAGUCGAGCGCACUCUUCGGAGUGAGCGGCGACGGUAGUAACGCGUGGGAAUAUGCCCUUCUCUAAGGAUAGCCACUGGAAACGGUGAGUAAUACCUUAUACGCUUCGGGGGAAAGAUUUAUCGGAGAAGAUUAGCCCGCGUAAGAUUAGAUAGUUGGUGGGGUAAUGGCCUACCAAGUCUACGAUCUUUAGCUGGUUUUAGAGGAUGAUCAGCAACACUGGGACUGAGACACGGCCCAGACUCUACGGGAGGCAGCAGUGGGGAAUCUUGGACAAUGGGCGCAAGCCUGAUCCAGCCAUGCCGCGUGAGUGAUGAAGGCCCUAGGGUCGUAAAGCUCUUUCGCCAGAGAUGAUAAUGACAGUAUCUGGUAAAGAAACCCCGGCUAACUCCGUGCCAGCAGCCGCGGUAAUACGGAGGGGGUUAGCGUUGUUCGGAAUUACUGGGCGUAAAGCGCACGUAGGCGGAUCAGAAAGUAAGGGGUGAAAUCCCAGGGCUCAACCCUGGAACUGCCUCUUAAACUCCUGGUCUUGAGUUCGAGAGAGGUGAGUGGAAUUCCGAGUGUAGAGGUGAAAUUCGUAGAUAUUCGGAGGAACACCAGUGGCGAAGGCGGCUCACUGGCUCGAUACUGACGCUGAGGUGCGAAAGUGUGGGGAGCAAACAGGAUUAGAUACCCUGGUAGUCCACACCGUAAACGAUGAAUGCCAGUCGUCGGGUAGCAUGCUAUUCGGUGACACACUAACGGAUUAAGCAUUCCGC